rnacentral:rRNA from 1 species
UUUUAUUGAACCGCUCGAGGCCCCUGUUGCCCGACCUCCAACCCUUUUGUGAACCAACCUCGUUGCUUCGGGGGCGACCCCGCCGUUCGCGCGGCGUGCGGCGCCCCCGGAGGCCAUCAAACACUGCGUAACCUUGCGUCGGAGUCUUGAUUAAAUCAAACAAAACUUUCAACAACGGAUCUCUUGGUUCUGGCAUCGAUGAAGAACGCAGCGAAAUGCGAUAAGUAAUGUGAAUUGCAGAAUUCAGUGAAUCAUCGAAUCUUUGAACGCACAUUGCGCCCUUUGGUAUUCCGAAGGGCAUGCCUGUUCGAGCGUCAUUACACCACUCAAGCCUGGCUUGGUGUUGGGCGUCGCGGGAUCCCCCGCGCGCCUUAAAGUCCUUUCCGGCUGGGUCGUCUUGUCUCCAAGCGUUGUGGCAAACUCGCGGCGAGAUCGGGCGGCGCGGCCGUUAAAUCUAG